rnacentral:lncRNA from 1 species
CUUCAUGUUUAAGAAGAAAUUUAAUUUGAAAGCAAGGAAUGACCACCCUGGCAGACUGGCCUCUCAGAGCUAGAGUUGCUACCUGUGCACUUCUUGAAACUUUACUUGCUCGGUGGAAACCUUGCUUCAGUAGAUCUGGGCUGAAGGCUAUUGGUGUGCUGACAACAUCCUACCCCUGCAAUAUUAAGCCUUGGAGCCUAACCCCCAGUUAUGCAGAGAUCCAGAAUGAUAAGUUUGGAUACCAGAUCAUGAUCAUGCUGGGGCAAGGGGUGGUCUCCCUCAAGUCAUGCAGCUUAACAGCCCAAGGGCCAGCCUGGCUCCUUUUUCAGAACACAAUGAACAGAACAACUCUUCUUAACACCUGCAUGCUAACCAAGAUGUGAUCUGUGGGGGAACUGCAAGCCUAUUACUGCUGCCACUGUUUUCCAGCCAUAGGGUGUACCUGUCAGGGUAUAAAUGAGUGUAAAAACAAUACAACAUUUCUUUUUUUGGCUUAAAACAUUUGCAACAAUCAAUCCCAACUGCAAAGAAUGGGCACACUCAAAUUGGUGUAAUUCAAAGAGGCCUUAUUUAUGAAAGGAUUAUUACAGAAGACAUUGUCAGGUGUCGGGGAAACCUGGGGGACAGCGCAGAAACCUCUGGCCAGGAACAGGGAGCUAUCCCCACUCUAGAUCUAGAGGGGCAAAGGCUGGCAGAAGUUAGAAUCCCAUAGUGCGGGUUUCUUCAAGAAGAACCGAGACUUCUGUCAAGGCACCUUGAACCCUAGGCCUCUCAGCAGAAGGAAACCAGGGGAAGAAUACCCCGGCCUCAUUCUCCACCCCACCUCCACCCUGGGAGGUGAAUCCAAGUGGAAGCUUAGAAAGGGUUGCCUGAGGCUGAGAGCUUGGUGGAGAAGGGAAGAGAGUGGAUCUGAAGGUACUAACACAUGGUCGCCUCAAACAUUCUCCCUCCAACUAUAAUAUUUAUGAGAAAUUUCCACUAGUGGAGACAGCAUUGAUAUAUCAAGGCAGGAAAAACAAACUACAAGAAAUUAUGCAUUGGUAAUCCUGACUGGAAUUCUUUUCCUGACUUCCUUGUGGGUUUCUUUAUUGCUUUGGCUUUGAGCACCCACCCUGAGUAUGACCAACAGUAGGCCGGACAAAUGAUGUUACAUUCAUUCAAAUGAAGCCUAUACAUGGAUGAAAGACAGCCAUAUGCCAUAUGUAGCAACAACAAGAAUUGUCAUAGACAUGAUACUGAACACAUAAAUCAGACAGAAAAGAGCACACUUUGUAUGAUUUCCAUUAUAUAAAUUCAGGAAAAAUAAAGCAAUAGUAAAUAGAGAUCUGAACCAUGGAUACUUUUGGGGGAGGGGCAUCUUAACUAAGACAAGAGCAAGAUGAAUCUUGCUGGAGUCCGAAAACCUCUUAAGCAGGUGAUGGUUAUAUGAAUGUAUACAUCUGUAAAAGUACAUGUAAAAUUUAGCUUUAAGAUUUGUGCAUUUUACUUAUGUAAGUUGUAUUUUAAUAAAAUGUUCCUUUAAUAAC